rnacentral:rRNA from 1 species
UACGUAGGGUGCGAGCGUUAAUCGGAAUUACUGGGCGUAAAGCGUGCGUAGGCGGUUCGUUAAGUCUGCUGUGAAAGCCCCGGGCUCAACCUGGGAAUGGCAGUGGAUACUGGCGAGCUAGAGUGUGAUAGAGGAUGGUGGAAUUCCCGGUGUAGCGGUGAAAUGCGUAGAGAUCGGGAGGAACAUCAGUGGCGAAGGCGGCCAUCUGGAUCAACACUGACGCUGAGGCACGAAAGCGUGGGGAGCGAACAGG